CAUCCCCUGGAAUUCGAAUCAAUAGUUUCUUUUCGUUAUUUCGCAAACCAAACUGAGCCCAAGAGUUACGGUCAACUUUGAGGGGUUAGAGCAACUCCAACAGAUUCUGUAUUUCCUCAUUUUUCUCUAUUUUAAAGAAAAUUGAGUCAUUUUAAGCUCUAACAGCUUCCCUAAACCCUUCCCUAAAAUAAAGAUUUUGAUGAGAGAGAAGAUUACAUUCCCUAAAUCUACAGCAAACGCUAAAAAUAUAGCGAUAGCUUGCUUCUGUCAUUAAUUUUUCACGUGCUCCACUCUCCCACAACGACCCAAAACGUUUCAACUCUGACUGAAGCUCAACCAAGAAAGAAGACGGUAGCGCAGUUGAAGUUGCUAGUGGAUUAAUUCUUGAACACAAAUAUGUAGGACUGGAAACAGAUAGCUAGAUGUCUAGAUAGCUGGAGAGUCUUCUUUUGUAUGGGAGGAUAUAUUCCCCCUGAUUUCACUGUUGAUGCAAUUUCCUUUGAUUGUAAUUUUGUUUAACUAUUAAUAACGAGCUGACUAUUUUCCUUUU